rnacentral:tRNA from 1 species
ACAUUGGUAAUUCAGUGGUAGAAUUCUCACCUUCCAUGCCAGAGACAUGGGUUCCAUUUCCAGCCAAUGUA